rnacentral:lncRNA from 1 species
UAUCUUGUUAUUUUAAUUUGUGAACAUUACCAUUAGUAUUUUCCUCAUAAAUAUUCUGUAUUUACUUAAUAUUAGUUAUUUUACUGUUUGUGAAUAAUUGUGAAAAUAAGAUCUUUAUUCAGAAUAUAUAUUAUUGAUUGACUGUAUUGAUAUGACUGUACCUUAUAUCUUUGCCACAAUGUACUACAAUUAUUGACAUUUAAAAAUAAAAAUAAACAAUAGUGUUGAAAGAUCAAUGUUAUUAAAUAACAUAAUUAUCACAUUGCAUGGAAAAGUAAAAAAAAGUAAAAGUAGCAUCUGAAAGUUUCUGUUCUCUUGGCUACCAGUUUUUGGCAAUUUAUUAAAUUAUUUAGUAAGCCCAUAACAUUAUUAAAUUAUUUUAAGCCCAUAACAUUUAUAGCAAUUAUGAAGUUUAACCUUUAAUUUUAUUAUUAACUAUUUCUCUUCUUUUUGUUGUUGUUAUUGUUGCAAGAUUCAAUGUACUUAUCCUUUUUAGUAGGUAUAACUUUAAUUUUACACAAUGUCUCAGCAUUCAGAAAAAGAGUGUAUUGACGCUAGCACAACAAAUAUUGGUCUUUGCACAUCUCCUUUAAAUAAAUUUGUAUGGAAUAUGGCUAACACAAGAGUAUUAUUAGAUUUAUGGAAAGAUAAUUACAAUGCAUUAACAUCUGCAAGAAGAAACACAAAUAUUUACAAACAAAUGGCAGCUGAAUUUUCAAACACAUUUAAUAUUGUACCUCCAUUAACUGGAUAUCAAAUUCAAUCUAAAAUUAGUAAUUUGAGGAAACAAUUUAGACGAGAAAAACUUUAAGUUGGUUCAUUGGGAGGAGCUCCUAGUAAAUGGUGGCCUUACGAUAUUGUUGCCAAAAUAAUAGGUGGUGAAGCUUCCCUUGACAAUGACCUUUUAUCUCAAAGUCAAAACUUUUCUACUCAAGAUUUUCAAGAUGGUCAGGGAAGGAAGGGAGUAAAAUGACUUCAAGUCAAGUCUUUCAAAGUCAAGAGAUAAAUUUUGAUUGAAACAUGAUUUAUAAACAUUUCUCAAAUGUG